UACAGAGGGUGCGAGCGUUAAUCGGAAUUACUGGGCGUAAAGCGUGCGUAGACGGUAGCGUAAGUCAGGUGUGAAAGCCCUGGGCUCAACCCAGGAAGUGCACUUGAAACUGACAGGCUUGAGUAUGGAAGAGGGUCGCGGAAUUCCCGGUGUAGAGGUGAAAUUCGUAGAUAUUCGGAAGAACACCAGUGGCGAAGGCGACUUACUGGGCACAUAUUGACGCUGAGGUGCGAAAGCGUGGGGAGCAAACAGG
rnacentral:rRNA from 1 species